UUAAUGAAUUCGUUUCACCUGGCAUAUAACUCUUCAAAUUCACUCAGGCUCCCAAUAUAUUUCCAUAUUUAAGGCUCUCACUCAUGUACAUUCACUAAUCUCACAGAGGCAGUCAUACAUGAGUUUAAGCUUCCCAUCAGCUGAAGCCAGGAGAUGACGAAAGCACUAAUGAUUGUGACGAGUGUGAGUAUCAGGUGGUGACAUAGGAUGCGGCUCUGGUGAUGAGUUCAUCAUCUUCCCGCCGAGCGGCAGAGUAGAAGACAAACAAACGAAAAUCUUUAGACUUUCACUGUGUCAAACAAGUAGUUACAACACAACCUCCGUUGGUCUUGCUUACUCGCAUGUGAACACCAGCUUCUCUCCUCGCAAAUGUGUAGGUAAAUAUGAAUCUUGGUCUUAAGCAUAGGAGCAGGGCGUCAUAUCCAUUGAUAUUAUGCUUUGGGUUAGAGAUCUGGCACAGCAAAACAGAUUUGAUGUUUAGCUGCUUAUCGCCUUGAGAAAUAUUUGGAAGCUCAGUUUAUAGACAUGAAGAUUGUGGAAAUCUUGAGGCUUGCAAAGGAGAGAUGACAAAUAGAGGAUCUCUCCCAGAAGAUGAGCAGAAUGAUAAUAAAACAAAGAUCAAUUCGAAGAAGAAUAGAGGAUAAAGCUCACUGAUAACCGGUUCCUUUUCUAUACAGCAUUUGCACUGAGCUUACAAGUGAAGACAUAAAGAAACUGUACUCUGAAUUUUGGUCUCAUGUAAGAAGCAUUCUACAAUUAACUGAUAAAUGCACGCAAAGGUAUAGAACAUAUUCUAAACUAACUUUCAUCUCCAUGGUUCUGAUUUUCUAUUACAGCUAUCCAUAUGAUCAUGAGGAGCUUGCUAUCUGUGAGGAUAUAUAUCAGGAGCCUGCUGACUCUGGUUUCUAUGGAUGGUGCGUAUUGGAGGCGGCGUCUUUCCUCAUAUAAAAGAAGCUGGUUAUCUGACCUGCCUUGUGUAAAUUCUCUGCUACUACAUGUACAAAGCUUUUCUGUAAGUGCAAACCUUGAACUCUGUUUCUUGGUUAAAUCUUUAUGUUUAUUCGCUCCAAUUUCUUGAGAAAAAUAACAAGUUAUGAUCGGAUUAGGUGAACAGGGAUUGGGAAAAAAAAUUCAAGCUCACACACAUCAAAUCUCAUUACCUUAGCACAAAGCGGUAGCGCAUUGGUUUCACUUAUAUUCUGGUAAAUGGCACUGCUUUUGUCAUCAGGUUUUUACCAUCACCAUUGGUUGGUACAGAUAUACAAAGCUGAAACCUCAAAAUAACAUGAUUCGUGGUAGAGGAAAGAAGCUGAAACUGGUAAAGCAUAAAAAAAUUCUGUGAAAUUAAUCUAAAAUCCUCUUACAUACUCAUUGAAGUACUAUUUAAAACUUUUGAUAAGUAAGCCAUAUUAGUUGAAUAUCGAAUUUAUUCGCUAGAUUAGGUAUCAAUUGGUACAAGACUGAGAGAUAAUGAGCUAAUAUUGCUUUUGUAUUUUGUUCCAGAAAACAAGCUCGAGAUGGAGCUCAAAUCGGCAAAAGAAGAAUUUGUAGAUCUAGAAAUCCUACAACUCUAAAACUAUGUUUUCGUUUUAUUAUGUUAAAAACUUUUUCAAUUUUCUUCGUUGUGAAACGAUCUUGACCAGUGGAGGAGUUUUGAGUUUGAAAACUGUUAAUUUGAACUUAUAAAAACUAUCCUUAUUCA